AUAACCCACCCGUCGUUUGGUUUCCCCGCGGGCAACACCCAAGGGGGAUUAAAAGGGAACACGGUGCGACGUACCCAUCAGGGCGCAAGACCGUGGCUGCCCCCGCAACUGUGAGCGGUGAGUUCUUCCGUCAAUGCCACUGGCCUCGGCCGGGAAGGUUCGGAAGCGCUGUGACCCGCAAGCCAGGAGACCUGCCGUCGACUGUACUGAGAC
rnacentral:ncRNA from 2 species